ACAUUCCUCACAAAGUGAUUGGGUGAAAGGUUGCACUUGUCACUAUUUGUUGUCCUGCAGCUGUCAUGUUCUAUCACUCUGUUAGAUGAUCCUGUCAGGUCUAUGUUCCUGCUUGAAGGUGAUUGGAUACUCAACAUUAUAUCAACUGCAGUGGACCAGAGACAGAGCUCAGAGAGGUACCCGGUGAAGUCACACAUCAGAGCUACGACUCAACUACUUGUCAGUACAGUUGGAAUCAUACAGUAGAUAUUACCAUUACAAGUCAGUUAGAAAGGUAAUAAAACAGUUAGUUAGGAUGGAUGACUACGUCAACAAAGAGGUUGUUGAAAUUGACAAGGUUAUUGAAGGAAACCAGAAUGGAGCAAGGAGGAGAGUGACGAUUGAGACACAUCCCUCAGCACCUGACGGUUCAGGGAGAAGACUCUACGGGAUGGUUGCUGUAAGCUUUGGGAUGCUGUGUGUUCUACAAGUCACUCUCAACAUCUCCCUGCGACUAGUCUCAGACUGUCUGACUGAAGAGAGAGACCAGCAACAGAGGGAGAAAGAUGAUUUUAUGGAAAAGUUCUCUAAUCCGGGCUGGAACAAGUUUGAAUCCUGUUGGUACUUCGUCUCUUCUGAGAGAAAAACCUGGAGUGAGAGCAGACAGGACUGUGUGGAGAAAGGAGCAGACCUGGUGAUCGUAAACAGCAGAGAGAAACAGUGUUCAUUUAUCUUUCUCAACAACAGAGAUUUCUCUUUAGCCUCAACACGAAAUUCUGGAUCGGUUUGACUGACAGAGAGACUGAGAGGUCCUGGAAAUGGGUUGACGGCACACCACUGAUAACAAGUUACUGGAUAAUCAACCAGCCUAAUAAUGGACGAAGUCUUUCAAGCUUACCGGAGGAGGACUGUGUUGAAUUACAAAAUGGAGAAGAUCAGCCUGAAAAGACAUGGAAUGAUUUAAAUUGUGCACAAAAACGUAACUGGAUUUGUGAGUUGUGUAACAAUAACAACUACCCAUCUAUCUCUCUCUCUCCCUGACUCUCCCGCUCUCAUUCUGUCUCCAUCCCUACUCAUUUAUGUUCUUUUCAUUCUGAACAUAUGAAUCAAAUUCCCAUUUACAGUACUUCCUGGGAUGCAGUAGUUAAAUGAUGGACACAUCAGACACAGACAAUGAUUGAGACACAACAACAGCUGCAUUAGAACAGACAGAAGGGACCAGUAUGAGGUUGUUAAGUCAGUACAGUCGACUCCUGAUAGGUGCACAUCAGAUAAGUGCAAGACCUGGGUUCAAAUACAACUUGAAAUCUUUCAAAAGCUUUGAGCGUUUGCUUUAGCCUGCCUUCAGAGCCAGGUGGGUACUGGGGCUUUUCUGUUGCAACAGAAGUAUUUUAAAUGAUUUCAUACAGAGAGGCAUUCUGGCAGUACUCCUUAGACACUGGAUCCAGAGGGGCGAAUUCAUGAUUUUUCACUGUGCUCGUAUCUAUCAAAUGUAAUCCAAGUUUAUAUGUCACGUGCGCCGAAUACAACAGGUGUAUACAACCUUACAGUGAAAUGCUUACUUACAGGCUCAAAAACGGUGUAAGGUGAACAAUAGGUAAGUUAAGGAAUAAAACAACAGUAAAAAGACAGGCUAUAUACAGAAUCGAGCCAAUAUAAGUAGCGAGGCUACAUACAGACACCGGUUAGUCAGGCCUAUCAGGCUGAUUGAGGUAGUAUGUACAUGUUGAUAUGGUAAUAGUGACUAUGCAUAUAUGAUGAACAGAGAGUAGCAGUAGCGUAAAAGAGGGGUUGGUGGGUGGUGGGUUGCGGGACUCAAUGCAGAUAGCCCGGUUAGCCAUUGUGCGGGAGCACUGGUUGGUCGGCCCAAUUGAGGUAGUAUGUACAUGAAUGUAUAGUUAAAGUGACUAUGGAUAUAUGAUAAACAGAGAGUAGCAGCAGCAUAAAAAGAGGGUUUGGGGGGUUGGGGGGGCACACAAUGCAAAGCAAGCAAAGCCGAGCAAUUGCUGUACCAGGCAGUGAUGCAACCAGUCAGGAUGCUCUUAAUGUUGCAGCUGUAUAACCUUUUGAGGAUCUCAGAACCCAUGCCAAAUCUUUUUAGUUUCCUGAGAGGGAAUAGGCUUUGUCUUGCCCUCUUCACAACUGUCUUGGUGUGUUUGGGCCAUGCUAGUUUGUUGUUGAUGUGGACACCGAGGAACUUGAAGCUCUCAACCUGCUCCACUACAGCCCCACCGAUGACAAUGGGGGCUUGCUCGGUCCUCCUUUUCCUGUAGUCUACAGUCCAUCUCCUUAGUCUUGGCUACGUUGAGGUUUUGGUUGUUAUUCUGGCACCACACGGCCAGGUCUCUGACCUCAUCCAUAUAGGCUGUCUCGUCAUUGUCUGUGAUCAGGCCUACCACUGUUGUGUCGUCUGCAAACUUAAUGAUGGUGUUGGAGUUGUACCUGGCCGUGCAGUCGUGGGUGAACAGGGAGUACAGGAGGGGACUGAGCAUGCACCCCUGGGGAGCUCCAGUGUUGAGGAUUAGCGUGGCAGAUGUGUUUCUACCUGCCCUCACCACCUGGGGGUGGCCCGUCAGGAAGUCCAGCAUCCAGUUGCAGAGGGAGGUGUUUAGUCCCAGGAUCCUUAGCUUAGUGAUGAGCUUUGAGGGUACUAUGGUGUUGAACGCUGAGCUGUUGUCAAUGAAUAGCAUUCUCACAUAAGUGUCCCUUUUGUCCAGGUGGGAAAGGGCAGUGUGGAGUGCAAUAGAGAUUGUAUCAUCUGUGGAUCUGUUUGGGCGGUAUGCAAAUUGGAGUGUGUCUAGUUAUUCUGGGAUAAUGGUGUUGAUGUGAGCCAUUACCAACCUUUCAAAGUGCUUCAUGGCUACGGACGUAUGUGCUACGGGUCUGUAGCAUUUAGGCAGGUUGCCUUUGUGUUCUUGUGUACAGGGACUAUGGUGGUCUGCUUGAAACAUGUUGGUAUUACAUGCAGUGAAGACACCUGCCCGUUGGUCAGCAUAUGCCCGGAGUACACGUCAUGGUAAUCCGUCUGGCCCCGCAGCCUUGUGUAUGUUGUCCUGUUUAAAGUUCUUACUCACAUCGGCUACGGAGAGCGUGAUCACACAGUCAUCCGUAACAGCUGAUGCUCUCAUGCAUGCCUCAGUGUUGCUUGCCUCGAAGCAAGCAUAGAAGUGAUGGUAGGCUCGUGUCACUGGGCAGCUCGCAGCUGUGCUUCCCUUUGUAGUCUGUAAUAGUUUGCAAGCCCUGCCACAUAAGACGAGCAUCGGAGACGGUGUAGUAUGAUUCAAUCUUAGCCCUGUAUUGACGCUUGCCUGUUUGAUGGUUCGUCGCAGGGCAUAGCAGGAUUUCUUGUAAGCUUCUGGGUUAGAGUCCCGCACCUUGAAAACGGCAGCUCCACCCUUUAGCUCAGUGCGAAUGUUGCCUGUAAUCCAUGGCUUCUGGUAGGGGUAUGUACGUACAGUCACUGUGGGGAUGACGUCCUCGAUGCACUUAUUGAUAAAGCCAGUGACUGAUGUGGUGUACUCCUCAAUGCCAUCGGAAGAAUCCUGGAACAUGUUCCAGACUGUGAUAGCAAAACAGUCCUGUAGUUUAGCAUCUGCUUCAUCUGACCACUUUUUAAUAGACCGAGUCACUGGUGCUUCCUGCUUUAAUUUUUGCUUGUAAGCAGGAAUCAGGAGGAUAGAGUUGUGGUCGGAUUGACCAAAUGGAGGGCGAGGGAGAGCUUUGUACGCGUCUCUGUGUGUGGAGUACAGGUGACCUAAAAAAAAUUCCCCUCUAUAAUGUUUGUUGCCCUGAUUUUUUGGGGUCUCGGUGUCUCUGGAUUCACAGACACCUAAAUAUCCCUAUGUAUAUUUUGACAUGGCCUAUUGAUGAAUGAGACACACUGUUUAUCUUAUUUUGUGCUAUAAUUUGCAAUUUACCUUGGAACAUAUUAUCAUUAUAAUUGUUGUACAUUGUUGUGUCUCAAUGGGCCACUAGGCUAUAAAUAGGAUCUAUGUGCAAUGGUCAGGUCACUCUGAGGAAGAUGUCAACUUGAUGAAGAUGUCAAAAAAGUAUUUAGUCAGCCACCAAUUGUGCAAGUUCUCCGAAUUAAAAAGGUGAGAGAGGCCUGUAAUUUGCAUCAUAGGUACACUUCAACUAUGACAGACAAAAUUAGAAAAGGAAAUCCAGAAAAUCACAUUGUAGGAUUUUUAAUGAAUUUAUUUACAAAUUAUGGUGGAAAAUAAGUAUUUGGUCACCUACAAACAAGCAAUAUUUCUGGCUCUCACAGACCUGUAACUUCUUCUUUAAGAGGCUCCUCUGUCCUCCACUCGUUACCAGUAUUAAUGGCACCUGUUUGAACUUGUUAUCAGUAUAAAAGACACCUGUCCACAACCUCAAACAGUCACACUCCAAACUCCACUAUGGCCAAGACCAAAGAGCUUUCAAAGGACACCAGAAACAAAAUUGUAGACCUGCACCAGGCUGGGAAGACUGAAUCUGCAAUAGGUAAGCAGCUUGGUUUGAAGAAAUCAACUGUGGGAGCAAUUAUUAGAAAAUGGAAGACAUACAAGACCACUGAUAAUCUCCCUCGAUCUGGGGCUCCACGCAAGAUCUCACCCCGUGGGGUCAAAAUGAUCACAAGAACGGUGAGCAAAAAUCCGGGAACCACACGGGGGGACCUAGUGAAUGACCUGCAGAGAGCUGGGACCAAAGUAACAAAGCCUACCAUCAGUAACACACUACGUCGCCAGGGACUCAAAUCCUGCAGUGCCAGACGUGUCCCCCUGCUUAAGCCAGUACAUGUCCGGCCCGUCUGAAGUUUGCUAUAGAGCAUUUGGACGAUCCAGAAGAAGAUUGGGAGAAUGUCAUAUGGUCAGAUGAAACCAAAAUAUAACUUUUUGGUAAAAACUCAACUCGUCGUGUUUGGAGGACAAAGAAUGCUGAGUUGCAUCCAAAGAACACCAUACCUACUGUGAAGCAUGGGGGUGGAAACAUGCUUUGAGGUUGUUUUUCUGCAAAGGGAUCAGGACGACUGAUCCGUGUAAAGGAAAGAAUGGGGCCAUGUAUCGUGAGAUUUUGAGUGAAAACCUCCUUCCAUCAGCAAGGGCAUUGAAGAUGAAACGUGGCUGGGUUUUUCAGCAUGACAAUGAUCCCAAACACACCGCCCGGGCAACGAAGGAGUGGCUUCGUAAGAAGCAUUUCAAAGUCCUGGAGUGGCCUAGCCAGUCUCUAGAUCUCAACCCCAUAGAAAAUCUUUGGAGGGAGUUGAAAGUCUGUGUUGCCCAACAACAGCCCCAAAACAUUUUUUAUUUAUUUUACCUUUAUUUAACUAGGCAAGUCAGUUAAGAACAAAUUCUUAUUUUCAAUGACGGCCUAGGAACAGUGGGUUAACUCCCUGUUCAGGGGCAGAACGACACCUUGUCAGCUCAGGGGUUUGAACUUGCAAUCUUCUGGUUACUAGUCCAACGCUCUAACCACUAGGCUACCCUGCCGCCACAGGGCGGCAGGGUUGCAACAGGGUAACAACAGGGUAACAACAGCCUAGUUCCUCUAGAACAUCACUGCUCUAGAGGAGAUCUGCAUGGAGGAAUGGGCCAAAAUACCAGCAACAGUGUGUGAAAACCUUGUGAAGACUUACAGAAAACGUUUGACCUCUGUCAUUGCCAACAAAGGGUAUUUAACAAAGUAUUGAGAUAAACUUUUGUUAUUGACCAAAUACUUAUUUUCCAUCAUAAUUUGCAAAUAAAUUCAUUAGAAAUCUUACAAUGUGAUUUUCUGGAGAAAAAAAAUAUAAUUUUGUCUGUCAUAGUUGAAGUGUACCUUUGAUGAAAAUUACAGGCCUCUCUCAUCUUUUUAAGUGGGAGAACAUGCACAAUUGGUGGCUGACUAAAUACUUUUUUGCCCCACUGUAUAUUAAAGUGAGCAAUAAGAAAUCAA